rnacentral:rRNA from 1 species
AAGUCGAGGGGCAGCAUGGUCUUAGCUUGCUAAGGCUGAUGGCGACCGGCGCACGGGUGAGUAACACGUAUCCAACCUGCCCUUCACAGGGGGAUAACCGGGAGAAAUUCCGACUAAUACCGCAUACGUCCUCCGGGGGCAUCCCCGGGGGAUGAAAGAAUUAUCGGUGAAGGAUGGGCAUGCGUGAUAUUAGGUAGUUGGCGGGGCAACGGCCCACCAAGCCCACGAUAUCUAGGGGUUCUGAGAGGAAGGUCCCCACAUUGGUACUGAGACACGGACCAAACUCC